rnacentral:rRNA from 1 species
AACGAACGCUGGCGGCAUGCCUAACACAUGCAAGUCGAACGAGACCUUCGGGUCUAGUGGCGCACGGGUGCGUAACGCGUGGGAACCUGCCCUUAGGUUCGGAAUAACUCCCCGAAAGGGGUGCUAAUACCGGAUAAUGUCUUCGGACCAAAGAUUUAUCGCCUUUGGAUGGGCCCGCGUUGGAUUAGCUAGUUGGUAGGGUAAAAGCCUACCAAGGCGACGAUCCAUAGCUGGUCUGAGAGGAUGAUCAGCCACACUGGGACUGAGACACGGCCCAGACUCCUACGGGAGGCAGCAGUGGGGAAUAUUAGACAAUGAGCGAAAGCGUGAUCCAGCAAUGCCGCGUGAGUGAUGAAGGCCUUAGGGUUGUAAAGCUCUUUUACCCGGGAUGAUAAUGACAGUACCGGGAGAAUAAGCUCCGGCUAACUCCGUG